AGAGGAAAGAGAGAAAGAUUCGCCAGACGGGUCUCAUCAGCAUAGGUGAUGGGUCGAGAUGCGAGUGGGGCUAGAGCUAGUAUAAAAGAGAGUCCGUGGCAUCCGUGGAGCAUCAGUCCUCAAAUCCAAGGAACAGCAGCUAUCAUGAGGGCAUUCAUGAUCGUGGUGCUCGCCGCUUCGGCGAUGGCGCGGCCAGAAGCCGGUUAUUCUUACUCUCAGCCCAGCUCUUCUUACGGAGCACCAGGAGGUGGAACUACCGGAAUCGGUGGAGGAUUGGGUGGUGGAUUAGGAGGUGGACAUGGCGGUGGAAUCGGCGGUGGACUGGGCGGUGGAUUGGGCGGUGGACUUGGCGGUGGACUUGGUGGUGGAUUCGGUGGAGGUUUCGGUGGUGGCUUUGGAGGUGGCAUCGGUGGCGGUGGCGGUGGUGGUUUUGGUGGAGGCGUUGGAGGAGGCGGUGGCUUCGGAGGAGGUUCUCUGAUUCAGAAACACAUUUACGUGCAUGUGCCACCACCAGAAGCUCCGGAAGACAGACCAACCAGACCUAUUGCACCACCCCCACCACCUCAGAAACAUUACAAGAUUAUAUUCAUCAAGGCGCCUACACCACCAACUCCUACUGCUCCUGUCAUUCCUGCUCUUCCUCAACAAGAUGAACAGAAAACAUUGAUUUACGUGUUGGUUAAAAAGCCAGAAGAAGCGCCAGAAAUUACUUUGCCUACCAUUGCUCCUACCCAACCGAGCAAACCAGAAGUAUACUUCAUCAAAUACAAGACCCAGAAGGAAGUUACCUCUGGUGGUGGAGGCGGCGGCGGCGGAAUCGGUGGUGGAAUCGGUGGUGGAAUUGGAGGUGGAAUUGGCGGAGGAAUCGGUGGUGGAAUCGGCGGAGGAAUCGGUGGAGGAAUCGGUGGAGGAAUCGGCGGAGGAAUCGGUGGUGGAUCCGGUGGAGGCAUCGGAGGAUUGGACAGUCAUGGCGGUAGCGGACCAAGCGGACCCAGCACGUCUUACGGGACACCCGGCGCUUCAGGGCCUUACUAGUCACUCAAAAUGCCCAUUGAACCCCCGCAGCUCCUCCUCUACCUGUAAUCGAACCUAUGUCUACGCUCCGCGACACGCACGCAUUCACGGCUUCGGCCACGGCUUCAGCCACGGCUCAAUAGCGAUCCUAUUGGACGCGACACACUGUGAUCCCACGUGGACGACCGCGGUGACGAGCAGGAACAAAACAAUCGAAUCGACAAUCGAUAGUAACACGAGGCUCUUGCUCGCGAUUCGGCGUUAUAUGAUUAAUAGGAAUAACGCAAGGACAACCACAAUUUUGUGGAUUACCACGAUGGCUAGGAUGAUGAUGAUGAUGAUGAUAAUGAUGAUAAUGACGACGAUCAAGAUGAUGAUGAUGAUGAUAAUGAUGAUGGUGAUUCUAACAGAUGUUAGAAACACGAUAACCAAGCGACGACGACGACGACAACAAUUAGGAUUAAAUGUUUUUUUAUACGUUAUUUUUUGCAAGAAAACGGUGGCGAAAUAAAGCUUUUUUUAUGUAUUUUUACAUAAAA
rnacentral:misc_RNA from 1 species